GACGAACGCUGGCGGCGUGCUUAACACAUGCAAGUCGAACGGAAAGACCCUGCUUUUGUGGGGUGCUCGAGUGGCGAACGGGUGAGUAACACGCGAGUAACCUGCCCUUGACUUUGGGAUAACUUCAGGAAACUGGGGCUAAUACCGGAUAGGAGCUCCUGCUGCAUGGUGGGGGUUGGAAAGUUUCGGCGGUUGGGGAUGGACUCGCGGCUUAUCAGCUUGUUGGUGGGGUAGUGGCUUACCAAGGCUUUGACGGGUAGCCGGCCUGAGAGGGUGACCGGCCACAUUGGGACUGAGAUACGGCCCAGAAUCCUACGGGAGGCAGCAGUGGGGAAUAUUGCACAAUGGGCGGAAGCCUGAUGCAGCAACGCCGCGUGCGGGAUGACGGCCUUCGGGUUGUAAACCGCUUUCGCCUGUGACGAAGCGUGAGUGACGGUAAUGGGUAAAGAAGCACCGGCUAACUACGUG
rnacentral:rRNA from 1 species